GGAGAAAUGAGGCCUCUGGGAAUGAAAGUGUGGAGUCAGCUUUGGGCAAAUGGAAAUUGAAUGGAAGGAGCAUCUCAGGAAGAAGGCUAAGAAGGCAAAACAGAGCUUGCAUUGCAGGAGGCAGACUUCAGACCAGGCUUAGGGUGAGGGAACAAAGACGUCUCAGUGCCCCGGCUGAGAAAUUGGACAAGAAAGACGGGACCCGUGCUCCCCUACAGGAGGUGGGCUGAGGGCAGAGCUGUUUGCCUGGCAGAGGAGGAGCAAACAGCCAUGUUGUAAAUGGCCUCUGAGGAGGACUGGCCUCUAGGAGUUGAGGACCUCAAGCCUACAUCUGCAAGGAAUUGAACGAUGCCAAGAACCCGAACAAACUCUGAAGAUGAGAAUGCGGCCCUGUGCCAAGACUGGCUGCCUUCCCCUGUUUCUGUACCACACUGGUUCCUGAAGCUAUUUGAGUUUGAGACUGCUGGGGUAACCUGACCCACUUCAAGGAUCUGAAAGUAUUUUACAGUUGGUUGAAUCCAUGGAUGUGGAACCCAUGGAUGUGAAGGACUGACUGUACUUUGCACUAGUGGUUCUCAAAGUGUGGGCCCUGGACCAGUGGCAGCAGCAUCACCUGGGAACUUGUGAGAAAUGCACUUUUCAGCUCCUGUUUCAGAUGGACCUAUCAGAAUCUCUGCAGGAACAUUUUGAAGUCCCCUCAUAUACAAUGAAAUGAUAGAUUUGUCAACACAGAUAAAUCUCAAAAACACAAUAAGUGAAGAAAGUAAGUUGCAGAUGGAAAUAAUAUGUGAUGGUCAAACAAUCUAGAUGUUUCCGUGAAGGUGUUUUUGGAUGAGACUAACAUUGACAUUGGUGGACUUUGAGUAAAGCAGGUUGCCUGCGUGCCAUAAUGUGGGUAUUCUCAUCCAAUCAGUUGCGGGAUUUAACAGAGCAAAGACUGAGGUCCCCUGAGAAAAUAGGAUUCCACCAGCAGACAGCCUUCAGCCUUGAACUGCAGUGUCACCUCUUCACUGGGCCUCCCAACCUGCUGACACUUUGAUCUUGGACUUCUAGCCUCCAUAACUGUGUGAGCCAAUUCCCUAAAAUAAAUCUCUCUCUGUACACAUUCUAUGGUUAUGUGGAAAUUGGGAGUUGUCCUGGAAAUUCUGACGUGACACCACCGGCCGUUUCUUGAACACCCGCUGUGUGUCGACCAGAGCCCAGAGUCUGGAAAGGAGCAGAGGAUCACCGCUGCCCAGCACCCCGCCCAUCUGAAUUCUGACUCUGGUGGCUUCAGAGAAGCAAGCAGAAGCAGUUUGCCCAGCCCUGACAUGGAAAGUUUACUUUGCUCAUCAACCUGAAGGAGACCGAAAGCUAUGAGAGGCGGCUCCUGAAAAGAAUCUAGACUCCGGAUAUAAAAAGAUCUUGCAACACAAGGCCAAGUGGAAAUCAUGGAGAAGAGAGACAGAAGGAGAGAAGAGGGGCAGGAGGAGAGAAAACACAAGAAAGAGGAUGGAAGAUAAAGAGGAAGAAGAGGAGAUUAGGACACACAGACAUCUGGAGCACGUGUGCACAGAGGGAUGAUCAUGUGAGGACACGGCAGCUAGAGGACGCCAUCUGCAAGCCAAGGAGAGAGGACUCGGGGGACUCCAACCCUAUUGGCGCCUUGAAUUUAGACUUCCAUCCUCCUGGUUUUUGAGACUAUGCAGAAGUUAUUCCAUGAGUUCCAAGCCCA
rnacentral:lncRNA from 1 species